GACGAACGCUGGCGGCGUGCUUAACACAUGCAAGUCGAACGGAAAGGCCCUGCUUUUGUGGGGUGCUCGAGUGGCGAACGGGUGAGUAACACGUGAGUAACCUGCCCUUGACUUUGGGAUAACUUCAGGAAACUGGGGCUAAUACCGGAUAGGAGAUACUGAUGCACGGUGGGGGUUGGAAAGUUCCGGCGGUUGGGGCUGGACUCGAGGGUUAUCAGCUUGUUGGUGGGGUAGGCGCUGUCAAAGGCUUUGACGGGUAGCCGGCCUGGGAGGGUGAACGGGCACAUUGCGACUGCGAGACGGAGCAGAAGCGAACGUGACGCAGCAGGCGGGAACAUGACACAGUGGGGCGGAGUGAGAUAUAGCGAUGCCGCGAUCGUGAUGACGUGCUAUUAGUUGUGAACCGCUGUCUAAGGAGAUGAGGCGUUAUUGACGGUAAUGGGUAAAGAAGCACCGGCUAACUACGUG
rnacentral:rRNA from 1 species